AGUCGCGCAAGUGAGUAGCAGAGCCGGUCCAGAACCCAGGAAUUCGGGUCCAAUCCGAAACUCAUUUCAGGACUUAGAAUUGCCUAAUUCUGGUGUUUGUUUGCCUGCGCUCUUUGAAGCCUGCAAGCUUCUAGGAAAUGCAAUAAAAUAGAGGGAUGUGUUUUAUCAUCAAGAUCUGAAGAGGAGCUGCAGAAGGGACGCUCCCCAUGCGCCCAGCUCGCGACAGCCUUCCAGAAAGAGCCGGCAGACAAUGCCAACAAACUACGUCCCUAAGCAGAGAUAUCUCGGUCAUCCAGGCUGGACUGGGCUCUGCCUUUGCAAAAAGGCUGCAGGGGGAGGGGAGCGGCAUGAUGUCCCCAAGCAAACAAUGCCUUUAAAAAUCCGAUCUGGACAGAAGUCAGCCAAGGUCUUUAUUCACCUUAAUGAAGAUGGAAGGCACUAACUGUCCUUGGAAAGCGAUGAGUCAAACUUGACCGCUCUUCAAACACAUGCCCAGAUUCGUUUCCAACCCGAACAGAGGCGCGUUUCUCCGACGCGGCCUCCGACAGUUCCCGCAGUGGGAGAGGCUGAACUCGAUUUCCUAGGACCAGGGAGGUGGAGACGGCAGCACCUCCCGCGGGUGUGCGUCGCCGGCGGCCGUCGCUAGGGGUCGCCGGCACCCGUACGCGCGCUUUGCCAUCUUAAGUUUUCAGCUCCAAGAAAUUAAAACUUUGCUUAAGAAGAAA